rnacentral:rRNA from 1 species
GAUGAACGCUAGCGACAGGCUUAACACAUGCAAGUCGAGGGGCAACGGGACGUAGCAAUACGUUGCCGGCGACCGGCGGAUGGGUGAGUAACGCGUAUGCAACCUACCCACGACAGGGGGAUAGCCCGUUGAAAGACGGAUUAAUACCCCAUAAAACAGGGGUUCCGCAUGGGACUAUUUGUUAAAGGGUUCUCCGCGAGGGGGACAUCGGUUGUGGAUGGGCAUGCGUUCCAUUAGGCAGUUGGUGAGGUAACGGCUCACCAAACCGACGAUGGAUAGGGGAACCGAGAGGUUUGGUCCCCCACACUGGUACUGAGAUACGGACCAGACUCCUACGGGAGGCAGCAGUGAGGAAUUUUGGUCAAUGGACGGAAGUCUGAACCAGCCAAGUCGCGUGAAGGAAGGCGGCCCUAAGGGUUGUAAACUUCUUUUGUUAAGGGAAUAAAGUGCGUUACGUGUAGUGCAUUGCAAGUACCUUACGAAUAAGGAUCGGCUAACUCCGUG